rnacentral:rRNA from 1 species
CUACUGGGGUAUCUAAUCCUGUUUGCUCCCCACGCUUUCGUACCUCAGUGUCAGUAUGAGUCCAGGGUGUCGCCUUCGCCACUGAUGUUCCUCCAGAUAUCUACGCAUUUCACCGCUACACCUGGAAUUCCACACCCCUCUACCCUACUCUAGCUUGCCAGUUCCAACUGCAGUGCCCAGGUUGAGCCCGGGGAUUUCACAGCUGGCUUAACAAACCACCUACGUACGCUUUACGCCCAGUAAUUCCGAUUAACGCUUGCACCCUCCGUAUUACCGCGGCUGCUGGCAC